GAGUUUGAUUAUGGCUCAGGACAAACGCUGGCGGCGUGCUUAACACAUGCAAGUCGAACGAUGAAACGGAACGGAAGUUUUCGGACGGAAGUUCUGUGGAUUAGUGGCGGACGGGUGAGUAAUGCAUGAAGAGCCUGCCUUUCACAUAGGAAUAGCCUCGGGAAACCGGGAUUAAUACCAAAUGACACUCCGAGAUCGCAUGUUUUUGGGGUUAAAGAUUUUAUCGGUGAAAGAUGGCUUCAUGUCCCAUUAGCUGGUUGGUGAGGUAACGGCUCACCAAGGCGACGAUGGGUAGCCGGCCUGAGAGGGUGAACGGCCACAUUGGAACUGAGACACGGUCCAAACUCCUACGGGAGGCAGCAGUGGGGAAUAUUGCACAAUGGAGGGAACUCUGAUGCAGCGACGCCGCGUGAGCGAUGAAGGUCUUCGGAUCGUAAAGCUCUGUCCUAAGGGACGAUA
rnacentral:rRNA from 1 species